UACGUAGGGUGCAAGCGUUGUCCGGAAUUAUUGGGCGUAAAGAGCUCGUAGGCGGUUUGUCGCGUCUGCUGUGAAAUCCCCGGGCUCAACCUGGGAAUGGCAGUGGAUACUGGGAGGCUAGAGUGUGUCAGAGGAUGGUGGAAUUCCCGGUGUAGCGGUGAAAUGCGUAGAUAUCGGGAGGAAUACCAGUGGCGAAGGCGGCUGCCUGGCCUGUUCUUGACGCUGAGGCGCGAAAGCUGGGGGAGCGAACAGG
rnacentral:rRNA from 1 species